rnacentral:tRNA from 1 species
AAAUUUAGGAUAAUAUCUUUAAACCAACGGCCUUCAAAGCCCUAAACAAGAGCGCAACCCUCUUAAUUUCU